rnacentral:rRNA from 1 species
UACGUAGGGGUCUAGCGUUGUCCGGAAUCAUUGGGCGUAAAGCGCGUGUAGGCGGUUCGGUAAGUCCGCUGUGAAAGUCGGGGGCUCAACCCUCGGAUGCCGGUGGAUACUGUCGGACUAGAGUACGGAAGAGGCGAGUGGAAUUCCUGGUGUAGCGGUGAAAUGCGCAGAUAUCAGGAGGAACACCAAUUGCGAAGGCAGCUCGCUGGGACGUUACUGACGCUGAGACGCGAAAGCGUGGGGAGCAAACAGG